rnacentral:misc_RNA from 1 species
GACGUGGAAAUUGAAAGCCAGUAUCGGUUAAUGGAGAUACACGUGGCACACGCGGUUUUCUGAUUUGAAAAUUGGCUCAGCCAACAAGGGACAGAUGGUUUUGGGAUACGGAGUUGGACUUUUAGUUUUUUCCACUGUUUCUUUGUAUGAUACGCAAUUGAAAUUGGCCAACAAAUGACCCAAAUCACUCUCAUUUAUUAAUGAUG